CUGUCAGACUCCUACGGGAGGCAGCAGUGAGGAAUAUUGGUCAAUGGGCUUACGCCUGAACCAGCCAAGUCGCGUGAGGGAAGACUGCCCUAUGGGUUGUAAACCUCUUUUGUCAGGGAGCAACGCCGGCUACGUGUAGCCGGACUGAGAGUACCUGAAGAAAAAGCAUCGGCUAACUCCGUGCCAGCAGCCGCGGUAAUACGGAGGAUGCGAGCGUUAUCCGGAUUUAUUGGGUUUAAAGGGUGCGCAGGCGGAGGUGCAAGUCAGCGGUAAAAUUUCGGGGCUCAACCCCGUCGUGCCGUUGAAACUGGCAGUCUCGAGUUGGAGAGAAGUAUGCGGAAUGCGCGGUGUAGCGGUGAAAUGCAUAGAUAUCGCGCAGAACUCCGAUUGCGAAGGCAGCAUGCCGGCUCCACACUGACGCUGAGGCACGAAAGCGUGGGUAUCGAACAGGAUUAGAUACCCCAGUAC
rnacentral:rRNA from 1 species